AGAGUUUGAUCAUGGCUCAGAAUCAACGCUGGCGGCGCGCUUAACACAUGCAAGUCGCACGAGAAAGUGGAGCAAUCCAUGAGUACAGUGGCGUACGGGUGAGUAACACGUGGAUCAUCUACCUCUUGGUGGGGAAUAACCCUGGGAAACCGGGGCUAAUACCGCAUAAGCCUGCAAAGGGAAAGCAGCGAUGCGCCGAGAGAGGAGUCCGCGGCCGAUUAGUUUGUUGGUAGGGUAAUGGCCUACCAAGGCAAUGAUCGGUAGCCGGCCUGAGAGGGCACACGGCCACACUGGCACUGAAACACGGGCCAGACUCCUACGGGAGGCAGCAGUGGGGAAUCUUGCACAAUGGGGGAAACCCUGAUGCAGCGACGCCGCGUGAGCGAUGAAGCCCUUCGGGGUGUAAAGCUCUUUCGGCAGGAACGAUAAUGACGGUACCUGCAGAAGAAGCUGCGGCUAACUACGUGCCAGCAGCCGCGGUAAUACGUAGGCAGCAAGCGUUGUUCGGAAUUACUGGGCGUAAAGAGUGUGUAGGCGGUUCUCUAAGUUCCGUGUGAAAUCUCCCGGCUUAACUGGGAGGGUGCGCGGAAGACUGGAGGGCUGGAGUAUAGGAGAGGAAAGCGGAAUUCCUGGUGUAGCGGUGAAAUGCGUAGAUAUCAGGAGGAACACCUGCGGUGUAGACAGCUUUCUGGACCAUCACUGACGCUGAGACACGAAAGCGUGGGUAGCAAACAGGAUUAGAUACCCUAGUAGUCC
rnacentral:rRNA from 1 species